AAUGCUGGCGGCGUGCCUAAUACAUGCAAGUCGAGCGGUAACAGGGCUUCACCGUUCCUUCGUACACACCUAGCGCAUUAUCGUAGGUUGGUUAGAUUCGAGGGAACGAGUGAAGCUGCUGAUGAGCGGGCGGACGGCUGAGUAACGCGUGGAACGGACCCCAAAGUGAGGGAUAACUAGUCGAAAGAUUAGCUAAUACCGCAUGUGAUCUUCGGAUUAAAGCUUUUUGCGCUUUGGGACUGGCCUGCGUACGAUUAGAUAGUUGGUGAGGUAAUGGCUCACCAAGUCGACGAUCGUUAGAUGGUUUGAGAAGAUGAUCAUCCAGACUGGGACUGAGACACGGCCCAGACUCCUACGGGAGGCAGCAGUAGGGAAUCUUUCACAAUGGGCGAAAGCCUGAAUGGAGCAACGCCGCGUGCAGGAUGAUGGCCUUCGGGUUGUAAACUGCUUUUAUAACCGAGAAAUAUGAUGGUAAGUUAUGAAUAAGGACCGGCUAACUACGUGCCAGCCGCGGC
rnacentral:rRNA from 1 species